rnacentral:lncRNA from 1 species
AUUAGGCGGCACCGGUGCUGCCGCCACAUCUUGAGCCUCCGCCCGGCACUCGGUUUCCAAGACGCGCAGGUCUUCCGCCGGCGACGACGUUUCGACAAUUUCCAGGCGCUCGCAGCAUCCUCCGUUCGUGAAGCUCAGCGAACGGUCCGCGUCCGCCUCGCUCGAAUCAACAGCUUCAACCUGCUUCUCGUCCACUACAGCCCGUGCCGGCUCUGCGAUGUGGUGCCCGUUUUCGGCGGCCUUCCACGCUUUGUCUACAACGUCUAGGGCCGCCGCCAGCAUCUCAGACUCGUCCGCGCCUUCGCAGUAACAGUCAGGCUUCGUUAUCGGCGUGCUAGGCUCGGAGCCGGCGGGUUUCGAUUCAGAGAAGCCCAGCUCCGAGCCUACAACCGGGGGUUCUUCCAUGUCUGAGUGCUUCAACUCCGCAGGGUUGGCCGGAGGAGGAGGAGGGCGGUUACGAACCGGUGACCGCUGCACUGC